rnacentral:rRNA from 1 species
AUGUGUGAAUGGUGUCAUUUUCCAGCCAGUCACGACUUCUUUCACCACUUAUGUGUUCUCCCAGCGCCGAAGAGCAGCCAUAUGAUGACGCUCAUGGAAGCGAUAAUGACCAUGACAUCGAGCACUAACAAGAUUAUCACACGCUUCUGGAGGUGGGUGCCUCUGUGGCAUUUUGGGAGAUUUAUCCUCGAGUCCCACUUGGCACAAAGCCCACAAUUUCCAAGGAAGCUGCGGUUGUACUUUGCAUGUUAUAGAGAGAAGGACACCUCCCCAUUGAGUUGGUUAAAUGACAAAUUGAGGGACACAAUUGAAUGGUUGCCGAAGUCAAGCGGGAUAUUGCAUGGUAGCUCGUUGUUGGACAAAUCAAGGAUUACCAGUGAUGAAAUCAUCUCAAUGCUCCAUGGCGGUAUUACACCUGAUAUAUGA